AGAGUCCGCUGAGUAGUCGCUUGAGCUUUAGCUCAAGAGGAAAGUCCGGGCAGCAUAGGAUACGACAGUCGCUAACGGCGACCAAGAGUAAUCUUAGGGAAAGUGCCACAGAAACUUAAACUACCUGUCGCUUGCGAUGGGAAAAGGUGAAAAGAGUGAGGUAAGAGCUCACAGCUGGGUGUGGCGACACAUUCGGAGGGUAAACCCUGUCGGCUGCAAGGAGAUUCACUUUAAAAUGACGAUCCGUCAGUGAAUCGAUCACCGCUCGAUCGUAUGGGCAACCGUACGACUAGAUAGAUGACUACUUAAACAAAACCCGGCUUAUAGGCGGUCUCGUAUA
rnacentral:RNase_P_RNA from 1 species